AUUGAACGCUGGCGGCAGGCUUAACACAAGCAAGUCGAGCGGAGUGAUGGUGCUUGCACUAUCACUUAGCGGCGGACGGGUGAGUAAUGCUUAGGAAUCUGCCAUUUAGUGGGGGACAACAUUCCGAAAGGAAUGCUAAUACCGCAUACGUCCUACGGGAGAAAGCAGGGGAUCUUCGGACCUUGCGCUAAAUGAUGAGCCUAAGUCGGAUUAGCUAGUUGGUGGGGUAAAGGCCUACCAAGGCGACGAGCUGUAGCGGGUUUGAGAGGAUGGUCCGCCACACUGGGACUGAGCCACGGCCCAGACUCCUACGGGAGGCAGCAGUGGGGAAUAUUGGAGAGUGGGCGGAAGCCUGAUCCAGCCAUGCCGCGUGUGUGAAGAAGGCCUUUUGGUUGUAAAGCACUUUAAGCGAGGAGGAGGCUACUAGUACUAAUACUACUGGAUAGUGGACGUUACUCGCAGAAUAAGCACCGGCUAACUCUGUGCCAGCAGCCGCGGUAACAC
rnacentral:rRNA from 1 species